ensembl:lncRNA
GGGAGUUGCCCCGGGUAAAGGCAGUAGCAGGUACUCUCGCGAGAUACAAAUUGCCCUACCACUCUAGUGCAAGAUGGAGAAGCAAAUGUAACACGCAUUCGAGAUUGUUAUAAGAAACUGAAAAGCAAGCCAAGGAUGAGAAUGGUGGAGCCAUUGAACCGAAGCCAUUUCUGGUAAGUACUUAAUUUCCUAUAUUGACAAACUGUUGUGGGGAAAUACGUGUGUGUGUGUGUGUAUAUAUAAAAUAUAUAUAUAUAUAUAU